rnacentral:rRNA from 1 species
UACGUAGGAGGCGAGCGUUGUCCGGAGUUACUGGGCGUAAAGGGUGCGCAGGCGGCGUCACGCGUGGCUAGAUGAAAUCUCCUGGCUUACCUGGGAGGGUGGUAGCCAGACGGUGGCGCUUGAGGGUCGGAGAGGGGCGUGGAAUUCCUGGUGUAGCGGUGGAAUGCGCAGAUAUCAGGAGGAACACCAAUAGCGAAGGCAGCUCGCUGGGACGGUACUGACGCUAAGGCGCGAAAGCGUGGGGAGCGAACAGG